rnacentral:rRNA from 1 species
UACGAAGGGGGGCUAGCGUUACUCGGAUUGACUGGGCGUAAAGGGCGCGUAGGCGGUUUGUACAGUCAGACGUGAAAUUCCUGGGCUCAACCUGGGGGCUGCGUUUGAUACGUGCGGACUUGAGUUCGGUAGGGGAGACUGGAAUUCCUGGUGUAGCGGUGAAAUGCGCAGAUAUCAGGAGGAACACCGGUGGCGAAGGCGGGUCUCUGGGCCGAUACUGACGCUGAGGAGCGAAAGCGUGGGGAGCAAACAGG